GAAGGACACAAUUGUUUGUUACUCAAAAGGCGCUUAAGAUGAAUUGGGCAGAAUUUGUGUUGUCCUAUCUUGUGCACGGGAUUGAAGAGUUUAAGAAGAAACAACAAAGUGGGGUUUGCGGUUGCUUAUUGUUUUUAAUGUUAUUCUACCACGAGCAUAUAUCGUUUGAAGAGAAAUUUCUACCGCUAUAUACUCGACCUUCUCCUCGGAUUACUGCUUGGGGAGAUGAUGAAGUAUUGGACAGGAAACGAAGAUUGAAAAA